AACUCACUGUGGACUGUCAGAGUCGCCGUGAGGAUGUCACAUCGCCGCGGGGGCUGUCAAAUCAUCAGGGUUGACAAUGCCUCUGGCAGGACAAUGCCCCUGGCAGGACAAUGCCCCGAAAUGGCCGUGCCGCACAUUGCUGUCAGAGCUGACAAGGCCUGGCGGCUGUACGGCGGUUGGAGGAGUCAGCCGACCCUAGGUCGGCGGCCAGCAGAGUGGCGUCGGGUUCCUCCGGUCGGUCGGCGAGCUUUCCAUAAGUCGGCC
rnacentral:lncRNA from 1 species